CUCCUCCCCGGCCGCCCUCGGAGGGAGGCGGCGCUGCCUCGCCCGCCCCGGCCCCGGCCCCAGCGAGGCGGCGAGAGCGGCCAUGAGGCCGGCGCAGCGCUCCCGGGAGCAGACCCUGGCCCUGCGGCGGCGGCUUAUCGGCUCUUCUUGCAAGCUCUUUUUUCCUGAUGAUCCAGUGAAGAUCGUCAAGGCAAAAGGCCAGUAUAUGUAUGAUGAGAAGGGAAGACAGUAUCUUGACUGCAUUAACAAUGUUGCUCAUGUUGGACACUGUCACCCUGAUAUAGUAAAAGCAGCCCAUGAACAAAAUCAACUGUUAAAUACAAAUUCUCGUUAUCUUCACGACAACUUGGUUGAUUAUGCAGAGAGACUUUCAAAAACACUACCUGAGAAGCUGUGCACCUUCUAUUUUUUGAAUUCUGGAUCCGAAGCUAAUGAUCUUGCCUUAAGGAUGGCGCGACAGUAUACAAAACACAAGGAUGUAAUAGUUUUAGACCAUGCUUACCAUGGACAUCUGACAUCCUUGAUUGACAUAAGCCCAUAUAAAUUCAGAAAUCUAGAAGGACAAAAGGAAUGGGUCCACGUGGCUCCUGUUCCAGACACAUACAGGGGAAUAUACAGAGAAGACCAUGAAGAUUCAGUAACAGCCUAUGCUAAUGAAGUGAGAAGUAUUAUUGAACAAGCACACACAAGAGGCAGAAAGAUUGCUGCCUUUUUUGCUGAAUCUCUGCCAAGUGUUGGUGGUCAAAUCAUUCCACCAGCUGGCUAUUUUCAGAAGGUUGCAGAGCAUGUGCACAAGGCAGGAGGUAUAUUUAUUGCUGAUGAAAUUCAAGUUGGCUUUGGCAGGGCUGGCAAACACUUCUGGGCAUUCCAGCUUCAGGGAGAAGAUUUUAUACCUGAUAUUGUCACUAUGGGGAAGCCAAUAGGAAAUGGGCACCCUAUUGCCUGUGUAGCAGCAACAAAAGAAGUUGCAGAAGCAUUUGCAGCCACAGGAGUGGAGUAUUUUAAUACAUUUGGAGGAAACCCAGUUUCAUGUGCUGUUGGACUAGCUGUGUUAGAUGUGAUUGAGAAAGAACAUCUUCAAGCUCACGCCACAGAAGUAGGCAACUUCUUGAUGGAGUUACUCAAUCAACAGAAAAUCAAGCAUCCCAUCAUUGGUGAUGUCAGGGGUAUUGGCUUAUUCAUUGGUGUGGACUUAAUUAAGGACCAAGCAGAAAGGACCCCAGCCACAGCAGAAGCAGAGUAUCUGAUAACAAGGCUUAAGGAAGAAUAUAUUCUACUGAGUACAGAUGGGCCAGGAAGAAAUGUGCUUAAAUUCAAGCCCCCAAUGUGCUUCAGUAUGGAGGAUGCAAAGUUUGUGGUGGACACAAUUGACAAAAUACUAACAGGUAGUACAGAUCAAAAGGCACAGACUCUGCUUUACAGUGGUUGCUGAUGGACUGCCUUAAAGUUAGUGCUGAGCAGCUAAGCCUGCUUUGCAAAAGUCCUAAAAUAGAGGUGGAGAUGGUAGGUACUGAGUACAUACGGAAAUUAGUCUUUGAAAGGUUUAGUCCUCACUUCUACUUUUGUUAGGGAACUUCACAGCAGAAUUAGUCUAUUUACUCCACAGUUGUACAAGACUUAAAAUAGUUUUGUUCCGGCACAGGCUAAAGUGUUUACCUACCUGACCAAGGGAACUGACAUGGAAAAGCAAUGCCUGAGCCAACAGGAAACAUCCAGUUGUUUUACCUGAGCAGGUUUCAAGAUCUACUUCCAUUCAAGAUAUACUACUAAGAAACAUUUUUCUACUGUAAUAAUGCACGUUUAACCAGUCUAGCAUGUCUUAAACCAGAAAAGUUACCUUUGGUUUUGUUAUUUUCAGUUAUCUUGUUAUUGGUAAAAGCUUCAGGAGAAAUAAAUCUUACAAUGGCUUGUUUCAACUGUG